CAGCCGCCACGGUAAAACGGAGGGUGCAAGCGUUAAUCGGAAUUACUGGGCGUAAAGCGCACGCAGGCGGUCUGACAAGUCAGAUGUGAAAUCCCCGGGCUUAACCUGGGAACUGCAUUUGAAACUGUCAGGCUGGAGUCUUGUAGAGGGGGGUAGAAUUCCAGGUGUAGCGGUGAAAUGCGUAGAGAUCUGGAGGAAUACCGGUGGCGAAGGCGGCCCCCUGGACAAAGACUGACGCUCAGGUGCGAAAGCGUGGGGAGCAAACAGGAUUAGAGACCCCAGUAGUCCCUGUCUCUUAUAC
rnacentral:rRNA from 1 species